GAGGAAAGUCCGGGCUUACAAACAUUUGUUUCGCAGGAUAAUCUCCCGUACGAGUAAUUGUGAGGAAAGUGCCACAGAAAAGAUAUACCGCUAUGAUUUUAGCAAGGGUGCAACGGUGUGUUUGAUGUAUUUAUCAUUUACUAGCAUAGCAUAUCAACAGGGUUAACAUCAUUAUAUGUAGUAAAAUAUUAGUAAUUUUAAUGAUUAUAUUUUAUCUGAACACACGAUAAUAUAAAUACUUUUAUUUUGGAUAUUUUACGAUAAAUUAACCUAAAUUUGUAUAGAAUGUUCAGUGAUGAAAAAUACUAAUGAAUUUAAAAAAAAUAGAGGUUAAAAAAAGUUUUGUGUUUACUCAUAUUAUUUUCCCUCAUGAGCAUUUAGUGUAUAAAUACACAUUGCAUGUUCUUAGAAAAAGUAAACUUAAUCUGUUAAAAGCAUACCAGGAAUAUUGAAAAAUGUUAGCUAGGUAAACCCCGAUAGUAAGCAAACUCACCUAUUAAGUGAAUGUGUUUUUAAUAGUGAUCAUGAAGUGCACAAGGUUAGAAGCAAUUUUAACUUAAGAUAAAUAACCAUCCUUUUAAAUGAUAAUAUUAUUUUGUUGUUUAAAAGAACCAAACCCGGCUUAA
rnacentral:RNase_P_RNA from 1 species